GACGAACGCUGGCGGCGUGCUUAACACAUGCAAGUCGAACGGUAAGGCCCUUCGGGGUACACGAGUGGCGAACGGGUGAGUAACACGUGGGUGAUCUGCCCUGCACUUCGGGAUAAGCCUGGGAAACUGGGUCUAAUACCGGAUAGGACUCCUGGCUUCAUGGUUGGGGGUGGAAAGCUUUUGCGGUGUGGGAUGGGCCCGCGGCCUAUCAGCUUGUUGGUGGGGUAAUGGCCUACCAAGGCGACGACGGGUAGCCGGCCUGAGAGGGUAACCGGUCACACUGGGACUGAGAUACGGCCCAGACUCCUACGGGAGGCAGCAGUGGGGAAUAUUGCACAAUGGGCGCAAGCCUGAUGCAGCGACGCCGCGUGAGGGAUGACGGCCUUCGGGUUGUAAACCUCUUUCAGCUAUGACGAAGCGCAAGCGACGGUAGUAGCAGAAGAAGGACCGGCCAACUACGUGCCAGCCGCCGCGGUAA
rnacentral:rRNA from 1 species